CAUAGGCAUGGUCCUGGCCUCUCUGUUGGUUUUAGGUAAAACUACACAUGCAAGUAUCCGCACCCCAGUGAGAAUGCCCUCUAAAUCACACCUGAUUAAAAGGAGCGGGCAUCAAGCACACUACAAAGUAGCUCAUGACGCCUUGCUUAACCACGCCCCCACGGGAAACAGCAGUGAUAAAAAUUAAGCCAUGAACGAAAGUUCGACUAAGUUAUACCUACUCCUUAGGGUUGGUAAAUUUCGUGCCAGCCACCGCGGUCACACGAUUAACCCAAAUUAACAGAAACACGGCGUAAAGCGUGUUUAAGAAUACAAAAAAAAAUAAAGUUAAAUUCUAGCUAAACUGUAAAAAGCCAUAGCUAAAAUAAAAAUAGACUACGAAAGUGACUUUACAAAUUCUGAAUACACGAUAGCUAAGACCCAAACUGGGAUUAGAUACCCCACUAUGCUUAGCCCUAAACCUAAACAAUCGACACAACAACAUUAUUCGCCAGAGUAUACUAGCAACAGCUUAAAACUCAAAGGACUUGGCGGUGCUUCAUACCCCUCUUGAGGAGCCUGUCCUAUAAUCGAUAAACCCCAAUAGACCUCCACCAGCUCUUGCCAAUUCAGCCUAUAUACCGCCUCCUCAGCA
rnacentral:rRNA from 1 species